rnacentral:rRNA from 1 species
UACAGAGGUCUCAAGCGUUGUUCGGAUUCAUUGGGCGUAAAGGGUGCGUAGGUGGCGCCGUAAGUCAGGUGUGAAAUUUCGGAGCUUAACUCCGAAACUGCAUUUGAUACUGCGGUGCUUGAGGACUGGAGAGGAGGCUGGAAUUUACGGUGUAGCAGUGAAAUGCGUAGAGAUCGUAAGGAAGACCAGUGGCGAAGGCGGGUCUCUGGACAGUUCCUGACACUGAGGCACGAAGGCCAGGGGAGCAAACGGG